rnacentral:rRNA from 1 species
GAAGCAGCUUCUCUUCCUGACGAGUGGCGGACGGGUGAGUAAUGUCUGGGAAACUGCCUGAUGGAGGGGGAUAACUACUGGAAACGGUAGCUAAUACCGCAUAACGUCGCAAGACCAAAGAGGGGGACCUUCGGGCCUCUUGCCAUCGGAUGUGCCCAGAUGGGAUUAGCUAGUAGGUGGGGUAACGGCUCACCUAGGCGACGAUCCCUAGCUGGUCUGAGAGGAUGACCAGCCACACUGGAACUGAGACACGGUCCAGACUCCUACGGGAGGCAGCAGUGGGGAAUAUUGCACAAUGGGCGCAAGCCUGAUGCAGCCAUGCCGCGUGUAUGAAGAAGGCCUUCGGGUUGUAAAGUACUUUCAGCGGGGAGGAAGGUGAUAAGGUUAAUAACCUUGUCGAUUGACGUUACCCGCAGAAGAAGCACCGGCUAACUCCGUGCCAGCAGCCGCGGUAAUACGGAGGGUGCAAGCGUUAAUCGGAAUUACUGGGCGUAAAGCGCACGCAGGCGGUCUGUCAAGUCGGAUGUGAAAUCCCCGGGCUCAACCUGGGAACUGCAUUCGAAACUGGCAGGCUAGAGUCUUGUAGAGGGGGGUAGAAUUCCAGGUGUAGCGGUGAAAUGCGUAGAGAUCUGGAGGAAUACCGGUGGCGGAAAGGCGGCCCCCUGGACAAAAACUGACGCUCAGGGUGCGAAAGCGUGGGGAGCCAAACGGGAUUAGAUACCCUGGUAGUGCCACGCCCUAAAACCGAUGGUCCACUUGGGAAGGUUUGUGCCCCCUUUGAAGGCUGGGCCUUUCCGGAAGCCUAAACGGCGUU